CAUUGUCAAUGAUGUCGUUUUUACCUACAUUGUUCGAUGCACCCUGAGAGAAACUGAAACACUGAGACUUUG
rnacentral:snoRNA from 1 species